GACACCGUGUCCGAGUGGUUAAGGAGACGCCCUGCUAUAGAUGGCCCUAGCCAGCUUGACAGGCGUUAGGUUCUGCCUGCGCGCGUUCGAAUCGCGUCGGUGUCG